rnacentral:rRNA from 1 species
AUUGAACGCUGGCGGCAUGCCUUACACAUGCAAGUCGAACGGCAGCAUGAUCUAGCUUGCUAGAUUGAUGGCGAGUGGCGAACGGGUGAGUAAUACAUCGGAACGUGCCCUGUAGUGGGGGAUAACUAGUCGAAAGAUUAGCUAAUACCGCAUACGACCUGAGGGUGAAAGUGGGGGACCGCAAGGCCUCAUGCUAUAGGAGCGGCCGAUGUCUGAUUAGCUAGUUGGUGAGGUAAAGGCUCACCAAGGCGACGAUCAGUAGCUGGUCUGAGAGGACGAUCAGCCACACUGGGACUGAGACACGGCCCAGACUCCUACGGGAGGCAGCAGUGGGGAAUUUUGGACAAUGGGCGAAAGCCUGAUCCAGCAAUGCCGCGUGUGUGAAGAAGGCCUUCGGGUUGUAAAGCACUUUUGUCCGGAAAGAAAUGGCUCUGGUUAAUGCCUGGGGUCGAUGACGGUACCGGAAGAAUAAGGACCGGCUAACUACGUG